GGGAAGGCAACAGCAGGACUGGUAGGUGAUGUAAUCACAUACAGAGACAUAAGCAGUAUCGGUGCUGUGCUCGAGUGCGAGAGGUCACGGGUUUGCGCCCAACCUCCCCCUGUGUGUGGAUUGCCUCGCUCUGUGUGAUGAGCCUGCCUGCGGGAACCGAGAAAGCUACAUUGGUGUCAGGAGUGGACGCAGGUACCCCGGCACGCACGCGUUGAACUGUAGCCUGGUGAGGAAGUCCGGGGCGGACUUGAGUCUGGCAGGGGAGAGUGUAGCGUGCAUGGGGAAGGCAGCAGCAGGACUGGUUCUGCUGGAAGCAGGGUGUGGAGUGGGGAACUGUGUGUUCUCUCUAUUAGAAGAAGACUUGAAUAUAUUUGUGUACGCCUGUGACUUCUCACCUAGGGCUCUGGAGCAUGUGAAGAAAAAUCCUCAGUAUACUGCUAGUGUGACUUGACCACAGAUGACCUGUUGCAGAGUAUCCCACCUCUCUGUUGAUGUUGCCACUCUCAUGUUUGUGCUUUCUGCCAUACACAUGCACCUGGCAGUGGAAUACAUUUAUAGAGUAUUAAAGCCAGGUGGGUGUGCCUUGGAGCUGUCGUCAUUAUUGCUGCCAGCCUUGCCUUUGCAGGCCACAUGUCUGGAGGAAGCAGCCUUUCUGCUGCUGGAGUACCUUGCCAUGUUGCCAGUGUGGCCUAUGGGCCCUGUGAUGCCUCUCUUCCUGGCUCAGGACUAUUACCGAGACUUUUGGAACUUUAAAGUUCGGAAUAUGAAACCACAGUGAAUAAUCCACUGAUAAGGCCUGCCUGAUCCAUUUUACUCAGAAAGUAUUUAUAAUGUUUAAUCCCCCUUUACAGUAUUCAUUGAACAU